UAACGCGAAGAACCUUACCCGGGCUUGAACUGCCAGCGAACGAUACAGAGAUGUUGAGGCCCUUCGGGGCGCUGGUGGAGGUGCUGCAUGGUUGUCGUCAGCUCGUGCCGUGAGGUGUCGGCUUAAGUGCCAUAACGAGCGCAACCCUUUUCAUCAGUUGCCAUCAGGUGAUGCUGGGCACUCUGUUGAUACUGCCACCGUAAGGUGUGAGGAAGGUGGGGAUGACGUCAAAUCAGCACGGCCCUUACGUCCGGGGCUACACACGUGUUACAAUGGGGCAUACAGAAGGCCGGACCAUGGCAACAUGGUUCAAAUCUUAAAAGUGCCCCUCAGUUCGGAUUGGGGUCUGCAACCCGACCCCAUGAAGCUGGAUUCGCUAGUAAUCGCGCAUCAGCCAAGGCGCGGUGAAUACGUUCCCGGGUCUUGUACACACCGA
rnacentral:rRNA from 1 species